CUCGGGCUGAUUUCCAUUCGACAGGAUAUCCAACAGAUCGCUGGACGAAACGAAGUAGAAUCUCGGGAACGCCAAACGUUUCGUCUCCAAGUAUUCGGCCAACGCUUUCUCGCAGAGGACCAAUUCCUUUUGGAGGAUGUCCAGGGAGGACGCGAGGCCAUCUUUGUUCGUCGCUUCAACUACGUUCAACGUUCUCGCUAGUUCCUCCGUCAUUUGCUUGAAUUCCUUGUCGAUCUUGUCGAAUCUCUCGGCAUCCGUUGGCAGUUGCCUACGUAUAUCCUCGGACGAGGUGAAGAUGCUCUCCAGAUGCGUCCAAGUUCGUUGCACUUCGAGCCAGAUAGUGGUCACUUGAUCGGCGAUGCUCAACUUCCGCUGCCAACUGGACACCUCUUCCAGAAAAUGGGCGAUGAACUUCGAGAGUUUCGAUCAAUUCCUCGCUGGCUCUUAUCAAGGUGGCGCCGGUUCGAGCAUGAAUCUCCUUCUCGAAUUCCAUUUUCGACCAGAUGACGUUCAAUUCCUUCAUAUAUCUCUCCAUUGACAUCUCCUUCACGGCUUUGUCCACGAUGUUCUUCACUUCCUCCUCGCAGUCGUGCAGAUUCAGCUCGAGAAGAUCGGCCAAUGUGGUAGACUCGUCCAUGACGAAUUUUACCUUAAGCACACUCUUCGUUGACUAUACGUUUCUUUUAUCGUUGAAAACUCGAAGCGUUGAGUGAACGAGUUUGAAGAAAAAAAAAAAAAGAAAAAAAGAACGAAGAAUGAAUAAGCGAAGAAUUAAACAUUUUUCGAAUUACAAGAUCGAAUUUAUUGACGAAUGGAGGUAUAAAUACAGUGAGUGAUACGAUGAAACGUACAAUGAGAAUAUAUUAUACAAAAUUAUUAUUGGACAAUGUAUGUAUGACGCAUGCAUUGCAUAUUAAUUGAUGAUUUAUCGGUUCUAAUUCGUGCUCGAAUAUUAUAGAAUUAGGUGCACGUUAUUUACAGUGGACUUACGGUCAUUUCUGGAGUCAUGUUGCCCAAUUUCUGUAACACCGAUAGCGUAUAUACAGCGGUGCAACUAACUAACUAAUAUCUCGGUGAUCAUUUCCAUUGAAAAAUCUUAAUCGUUUUGACUAAUUAAAAAUUCUUUCAAUUUUAUUUAAAUAAAAUUAAUAAAAAUAUUCUCGCAAAAACGUGUAACGAUUUUCAUG